rnacentral:rRNA from 1 species
CUUGCUUGGUGGAUCAGUGGCGAACGGGUGAGUAACACGUGAGCAACCUGCCCUGGACUCUGGGAUAAGCGCUGGAAACGGCGUCUAAUACUGGAUAUGAGCUCCUUCCGCAUGGUGGGGGUUGGAAAGAUUUUUCGGUCUGGGAUGGGCUCGCGGCCUAUCAGCUUGUUGGUGAGGUAAUGGCUCACCAAGGCGUCGACGGGUAGCCGGCCUGAGAGGGUGACCGGCCACACUGGGACUGAGACACGGCCCAGACUCCUACGGGAGGCAGCAGUGGGGAAUAUUGCACAAUGGGCGGAAGCCUGAUGCAGCAACGCCGCGUGAGGGAUGACGGCCUUCGGGUUGUAAACCUCUUUUAGCAGGGAAGAAGCGAAAGUGACGGUACCUGCAGAAAAAGCGCCGGCUAACUACGUGCCAGCAGCCGCGGUAAUACGUAGGGCGCAAGCGUUAUCCGGAAUUAUUGGGCGUAAAGAGCUCGUAGGCGGUUUGUCGCGUCUGCUGUGAAAUCCCGAGGCUCAACCUCGGGCCUGCAGUGGGUACGGGCAGACUAGAGUGCGGUAGGGGAGAUUGGAAUUCCUGGUGUAGCGGUGGAAUGCGC